rnacentral:rRNA from 1 species
AUUGAACGCUGGCGGCAGGCCUAACACAUGCAAGUCGAGCGGCAGCNCGGGUACUUGUACCUGGUGGCGAGCGGCGGACGGGUGAGUAAUNCNUAGGAAUCUGCCUGGUAGUGGGGGAUAACGCUCGGAAACGGACGCUAAUACCGCAUACGUCCUACGGGAGAAAGCAGGGGACCUUCGGGCCUUGCGNUAUCAGAUGAGCCUAGGUCGGAUUAGCUAGUUGGUGAGGUAAUGGCUCACCAAGGCGACGAUCCGUAACUGGUNUGAGAGGAUGAUCAGUCACACUGGAACUGAGACACGGUCCANACUCCUACGGGAGGCAGCAGUGGGGAAUAUUGGACAAUGGGNGAAAGCCUGAUCCAGCCAUGCCGCGUGUGUGAAGAAGGUCUUCGGAUUGUAAAGCACUUUAAGUUGGGAGGAAGGGCAUUUACCUAAUACGUAAGUGUUUUGACG